ensembl:misc_RNA Metazoa_SRP Metazoan signal recognition particle RNA
GCCAGGUGUGUUGGCACACUCCUAUAAUCCCAGCUACUUGGGAGGCUGAGGCAGGAGAAUUGCUUGAACCCGGGAGGCGGAGGUUGCAGUGAGCCGAGAUCGCGCCACUGCACUCCAGCCUGGGUAACAGAGCAAGACUCUGUCUUAA